rnacentral:lncRNA from 1 species
GGGCAUGAAACAUGACACUUCAAUUAUCUUAUCACAGGCGAGAAAUAUGUCUAUGGUUUAGUCCAAGGCCGAAUAUAACUUAAUAUAAUUAAUAUGCAUUCUUGAAAUAAAUGGAUGGGUGAAGGCCCUAGAUUAGCUAUGUUAUCUUGGAUUGCCGGUGAUAAACUAGAGCGUGAUAUUGUGGAUAGCCUUGUCACAAUAGGAACGUGGUACUAUUGAUUGCCUUUGGUCAAGUGGGAGUGUCCGACAUCUCGGUCGGUUCAAUCAAGUUAAUUUUAUCUGAUUAUAGUUAAACUAGGGUACAAAUCGUUCAAGAAAAAUUGGAGGUGACCAAAUCUAAUAGUGUCUGGUAAGAGCUAAGGUGGGGGUUGGUAUAGUUUCCGACGGCCAUGGAUCAAAACCCCCAUCAUUAAGGUUGAUCAAAGUCAUUGAUAAGAG